UAGACACAGUCCUGCACUUAGUAUGACUGCCUGGAGCACCACACAUGUAACUUAAACCUGGAGCAAGAAACUCACUCAAUGGACAGAUGAGGCUCUUGUAGGGCAAGAUGCACAGAUCACUCAUCUCGGCAAGAAAACUGAGGACCAUGAAGUUUAGAUGACUCACUGAAAAUCACACGAGUGCUUCUGUUGCUGCUUUUGGGGAUUCACUGCAAAGUUUCUAAGACCAAUUCAUUCACCUUUGCUACUACCAUAGACUCACUUUGGGCCAAUCUGCAAGCAUCCUGAUGUUAUGAAAAACUUAUGGCACUACACUCAUACUGGUAUGUAAUUAUUUGCCUACUAAUUUGAUUUCCUCUUUCAAACAAGUAAAAUAUGGGAUGUAAAUAGGUAAUUUGGAUACUGUUCUCAUCACUGCACCAUCAAAUUACUAUUUACAUAAUAAACUACAGUAUUAUUACUUGUCUGGAAGUUUUGAAGUCUAUUAAAAAAGGAAAAGCCAUUGACCUCCUUCUGACUAAAGAGUCUGUAGAAAGGAUUCUUAAUCUGAAGUUAGUGAUUUUGUUUUCAAAUUGAUAACUGUAUUUCAACGUAAUUGACUUCCUUUGUAAGCACAUAUUUUUAUUUCAUGCAUUUAAAAACAUUAUUUUCAGAAGGCAUCCAGAGGCUUCACUUAAUUAACAAAGUAGUUCACAACUCUCACCCCUUGCCACAAAAAGAAAAACAAAAACAAAAACAAAAAUAAAAACAACCCAAUCCAACAACUAAGAAUGUCCGGUAUAUACAAUUUGUUCAUGAUAAUUUCAUUUUUUUCUCUUUCCUUUCAUCAUAAUCCAAGCUCUUUCUGAUAUUCAAUUAUUCUCAGGUCCAUUCCUUUAUA